ensembl:lncRNA
GUAACAGAGUAGCUUUACUUCUUUACCUUACUUAAGUACAUUUUUCAAGUAUCUGUACUUUACUGGAGUAGUUUUAUUUUGAGUAACUUUUACUUUUACUUCACUACAUUCCAAAGCAUAACAUAUCGUUACUCCUUAUAUGACGUGCUGCGACACGCAGAAGCGGUGUCUGAUUCAAGAACGAACUGAGUCUUUUCAAUGAACCUUUUAAAUCGGUUCGCAAAUCGCAACAAACGAUUUGAAUUAGAAUGAUCCGAUUGCAGCUGUUCUAGAGUCGACAACUCACUGAUUCAAAUGAACCGUUUAGUGCGAGUCUACAGUGAACUGAAUUCAUAAGUAAGCACUUGUGAGCGCGCGCGCGUCUGAUGCUGUUAAAGACAUCAUUUGGAAGUGCUGCCUGGAUGGUUACAGAGAAAACUGCUGAUGGUCCAAUCAAGAAAGGAGAGCAGAUGUUGACUGACUGACUGGACAAUCAGGAGAAACAUUUGAGAAGCAGGAAACUUAGGCAACAGUCUCUGAUCUUCAGAACUUUAAAGCUGACAUUUCUGCAGGUCAUUGCAGUCAGAGUGUUAGAAGUUUCCUGAAUGCAAGGCCCUUUGCGUCUUUGAGCAAAACGGAGUACUUGGUUGUUUGCUGCAGAUAAUACUUACAGUUUAUUCUGAUUUGAGAAAGAUCUCUGCAUCUCUGCAAAUAGGUGGCUGUGCCAAAUAGAGGAUUAAGGAGUAGCUGAGAGAGAAGUUCGCCUGAUGGGAAGUUUUAAUUGCCUGCCUUUUUUUUUCUCUCUGUCUGUAACCUUUCACUGCUCUAAUUAGUCAACAGGUUCAAUCUCAUACUUGCUGUAAUCACCCUUAAAGCCUGUCUCUGCCCACUCUUUUAACACUGUGAUGUAACAGACUGCAAGUUAGAAAGUGGACUAGGGGCUACACGUGAUAUGUGUUGGUGUGUGUGGGUAAAUCUGGCCAAAUUUAGAUUGACCACAUAUAACUCAUCCAAGUUUUAAAAGUUUGGGCAGUUUUAAAAUGCCACAUUUCUAAUUAUGGUAUCCAAUAGGAAAUUAUAAAAUACAAUUAAAAAUGUUCUGUUCUAUUUUUAAAGGUGAAAUGUAAAUUUAGUGCCACAUGUAUAUCAACUAUGCAAACUGAUGAUAUGCCUGGCAGCCAUUAACCAAAUACAAGGACAUUAGGGUGACCAGACCUGUUUUCUUGUGAUAGUCCACAUUUUUGUUGGCCUUUGCCCAACUGGGGCUGCUCUUGCAAUUAUAUGUUUGUUUUAUAUGAAGCCUAAUGCUCUCUAUAUAGCAUAGGCAUCUUUAAACAAACAUCACAUCAUAUUAUCAUGACUUACAGUAUAUAAUUUUGAUGCACUUCUCUGUUUGUUCUU